rnacentral:sRNA from 1 species
CGGAAUCCUGCGCGCUGCCCACGAUUCGCUUCUGAGGAACCUAGCAAGAUUGUACAAUGAAUGGUGAUUCUCGUGCUGCGGUGGUGACCUCACCACCCCCGACCACAGCCCCUCACAAGGAGAGGUACUUCGACCGAGUAGAUGAGAACAACCCAGAGUACUUGAGGGAGAGGAACAUGGCACCAGACCUUCGCCAGGACUUCAACAUGAUGGAGCAAAAGAAGAGGGUGUCCAUGAUUCUGCAAAGCCCUGUGAGAAGAGAAGUCUUUUCUCUGACCAGAUGUCAUCUUUCCUUUUCUAAUACUUCAGGUCUUAUGCCCUGUUGUAUGAGUGGCAUAGUUCAUUGAUCUUAUCACAGGAAAUCAGUGCCUUGAGUAUACGUAUAUGGUUGUUGAAAGAAUUCAGUUCAGUUCAUGUUAUCAGACAUCAUAAAUGAAAAAUCUUCAGUGUCGUAAAGGAUAGGAAGUGUUAAUUUCACCUUUUUACUCUUGUGACUUUUCUAGAGGGUCUUUAUAUAUUGGGGCAAUUUUUAAAUUACAAUUUAAA